AUCCUUUUCCUAACCUAAACCUCUCAUCCUGCCCCCAUUUCGCAAGACAAUCCUUUCUCCUCACACACUCUUCUCUCUUUUCAGCACUGUUAGGGUUUGAGCCAGUUUCCUCUACGGGUCAAUCAGAAGCCCCCUUCAAUUCCUUAAUCAAUUCCUGGAGCUGUAGCGCUCUUUCUUGGGGCACUAUUACUUUUUCUAACAUUUUUCAGAUGUGAGAACUCCUCGUGGUCAUCAGGGUGAUGAAAAUUCCGCUGGUUAGCUCGACUCGGGUCGGAUCCCGCCUUUCCUAGUUAUCUUUUAGGGUUGUAGCUCACGUAUUGUCUUACUCUUUGAGCAUUUAUUUUGAAUACUGUCAAACUAUUCCUCUACCGUGUCAAUGACAUCGUGGUGUGUUGUAAUAUUCCCCUUUAAGUACU